rnacentral:rRNA from 1 species
GAUGAACGCUGGCGGCGUGCCUAAUACAUGCAAGUCGAGCGAACUGAUUAGAAGCUUGCUUCUAUGACGUUAGCGGCGGACGGGUGAGUAACACGUGGGCAACCUGCCUGUAAGACUGGGAUAACUUCGGGAAACCGAAGCUAAUACCGGAUAGGAUCUUCUCCUUCAUGGGAGAUGAUUGAAAGAUGGUUUCGGCUAUCACUUACAGAUGGGCCCGCGGUGCAUUAGCUAGUUGGUGAGGUAACGGCUCACCAAGGCAACGAUGCAUAGCCGACCUGAGAGGGUGAUCGGCCACACUGGGACUGAGACACGGCCCAGACUCCUACGGGAGGCAGCAGUAGGGAAUCUUCCGCAAUGGACGAAAGUCAGACGGAGCAACGCCGCGUGAGUGAUGAAGGCUUUCGGGUCGUAAAACUCUGUUGUUAGGGAAGAACAAGUACGAGAGUAGCUGCUCGUACCUUGACGGUACCUAACCAGAAAGCCACGGCUAACUACGUGCCAGCCGCCGCAGUAA